AGUUUAAAGGCUUUCAUUAUGAUUUUAAAAUGUUAUUUUGAGAUCAUUAUGAAAGCUUUUUACUG
ncrna:Schmidtea mediterranea bantam-c-1 stem-loop (sme-bantam-c-1, sme-bantam-c-2)